GAUGAACGCUGGCGGCGUGCCUAACACAUGCAAGUCGAGCGAUUUACUUCGGUAAAGAGCGGCGGACGGGUGAGUAACGCGUGGGUAACCUGCCCUGUACACACGGAUAACAUACCGAAAGGUAUGCUAAUACGAGAUAAAAUACUUUUAUCGCAUGGUAGAAGUAUCAAAGCUUUUGCGGUACAGGAUGGACCCGCGUCUGAUUAGCUAGUUGGUAAGGUAACGGCUUACCAAGGCGACGAUCAGUAGCCGACCUGAGAGGGUGAUCGGCCACAUUGGAACUGAGACACGGUCCAAACUCCUACGGGAGGCAGCAGUGGGGAAUAUUGCACAAUGGGCGAAAGCCUGAUGCAGCAACGCCGCGUGAGCGAUGAAGGCCUUCGGGUCGUAAAGCUCUGUCCUCAAGGAAGAUAAUGACGGUACUUGAGGAGGAAGCCCCGGCUAACUACGUGC
rnacentral:rRNA from 1 species